ACUUUCAGUGGUGAGGAAGGGCGUAAGAUUAAUACUCUUGCGCAUUGACGUUAGCCACAGAAGAAGCACCGGCUAACUCCGUGCCAGCAGCCGCGGUAAUACGGAGGGUGCAAGCGUUAAUCGGAAUUACUGGGCGUAAAGCGUACGUAGGCGGCUUGUUAAGCAAGAUGUGAAAGCCCCGGGCUCAACCUGGGAAUGGCAUUUUGAACUGGCAAGCUCGAGUUUUGAAGAGGGUGGUAGAAUUUCCUGUGUAGCGGUGAAAUGCGUAGAUAUAGGAAGGAAUACCAGUGGCGAAGGCGGCCACCUGGUCAAAAACUGACGCUGAGGUACGAAAGCGUGGGUAGCAAACAGGAUUAGAUACCCUGGUAGUCCACGCCGUAAACGAUGUCAACUAGUUGUUCGUGUCAUUAACGAUGUGAGUAACGCAGCUAACGCACUAAGUUGACCGCCUGGGGAGUACGGCCGCAAGGUUAAAACUCAAAUGAAUUGACGGGGGCCCGCACAAGCGGUGGAGCAUGUGGUUUAAUUCGAUGCAACGCGAAGAACCUUACCAUCCCUUGACAUCCAGUGAAUUAUCUAGAGAUAGAUGAGUGCCUUCGGGAACACUGAGACAGGUGCUGCAUGGCUGUCGUCAGCUCGUGUUGUGAGAUGUUGGGUUAAGUCCCGCAACGAGCGCAACCCUUAUCCUUAGUUGCCAGCACGUAAAGGUGGGAACUCUGGGGAGACUGCCGGUGAUAAAC
rnacentral:rRNA from 1 species